GGCGAACGCUGGCGGCGUGCUUAACACAUGCAAGUCGACGACGCUACUGAGUAGCAAUAUUUAGUAGUGGAGUGGCGCAAGGGUGAGUAAUGUAUACGUAACCAACCCAUCGGAGACGGAUAACAUUUCGAAAGGGAUGCUAAAACGGCAUGAAGCCACGAUUUCGCAUGAGAUUGUGGUUAAAGAACCGGUAACAGGUUGCCGAUGGCUGGGCGUAUAUCCGAUUAGCUAGUUGGUAGUGUAAUGGACUACCAAGGCGACGAUCGGUAGCUGGUCUGAGGGGAUGCUCAGCCACACUGGCACUGGGACACGGGCCAGACUGCUACGGGAGGCAGCAGUGGGGAAUAUUGGGCAAUGGCCGCAAGGGUGACCCAGCAACGCCGCGUGGAGGAUGGAGGCCGUAGGGUUGUAAACUCUGACAAGCAGGGAAGAACGGCUAUGGUAAAAGGCCAUAGAGUGACGGUACCUGCCUGAAGCCCCGGCUAACUACGUG
rnacentral:rRNA from 1 species